rnacentral:rRNA from 1 species
UCAGGACGAACGCUGGCGGCGUGCCUAAUACAUGCAAGUAGAACGCUGAAGACUGGUGCUUGCACUAGUCAGAUGAGUUGCGAACGGGUGAGUAACGCGUAGGUAACCUACCUCAUAGCGGGGGAUAACUAUUGGAAACGAUAGCUAAUACCGCAUGACAAUUAAGUACUCAUGUACUAAAUUUAAAAGGAGCAAUUGCUUCACUAUGAGAUGGACCUGCGUUGUAUUAGCUAGUUGGUGAGGUAACGGCUCACCAAGGCCACGAUACAUAGCCGACCUGAGAGGGUGAUCGGCCACACUGGGACUGAGACACGGCCCAGACUCCUACGGGAGGCAGCAGUAGGGAAUCUUCGGCAAUGGGGGCAACCCUGACCGAGCAACGCCGCGUGAGUGAAGAAGGUUUUCGGAUCGUAAAGCUCUGUUGUUAGAGAAGAACGGUAAUGGGAGUGGAAAAUCCAUUACGUGACGGUAACUAACCAGAAAGGGACGGCUAACUACGUGCCAGCAGCCGCGGUAAUACGUAGGUCUCGAGCGUUGUCCGGAUUUAUUGGGCGUAAAGCGAGCGCAGGCGGUUAUUUAAGUCUGAAGUUAAAGGCCGUGGCUCAACCAUGGUUCGCUUUGGAAACUGGAUAACUUGAGUGCAGAAGGGGAGAGUGGAAUUCCAUGUGUAGCGGUGAAAUGCGUAGAUAUAUGGAGGAACACCGGUGGCGAAAGCGGCUCUCUGGUCUGUAAC